AGCGAACGCUGGCGGCAGGCCUAACACAUGCAAGUCGAACGAACUCUUCGGAGUUAGUGGCGGACGGGUGAGUAACACGUGGGAACGUGCCUUUUGGUUCGGAAUAACUCAGGGAAACUUGUGCUAAUACCGAAUGUGCCCUUCGGGGGAAAGAUUUAUCGCCAUUAGAGCGGCCCGCGUCUGAUUAGCUAGUUGGUGAGGUAACGGCUCACCAAGGCGACGAUCAGUAGCUGGUCUGAGAGGAUGACCAGCCACACUGGGACUGAGACACGGCCGAGACUCCUACGGGAGGCAGCAGUGGGGAAUCUUGCGCAAUGGGCGAAAGCCUGACGCAGCCAUGCCGCGUGAAUGAUGAAGGUCUUAGGAUUGUAAAAUUCUUUCACCGGGGACGAUAAUGACGGUACCCGGAGAAGAAGCCCCGGCUAACUUCGUG
rnacentral:rRNA from 1 species